CGCUUAUAGAGAAAGGCAGAGGGACUAGACCCGAUGAAGCCUUAGCAACCUGUCCCUUGACAAGGUGCUAAAUUCUAUCCGCCAGCUGGCGGAAAAGAUAAGCC
rnacentral:ncRNA from 2 species